rnacentral:tRNA from 1 species
UCGGGUGUAGCUCAGUGGCAGAGCACUUGCCUGGCAUGCAUGAGGCCUGAGUUCCAUUUCUAGUACCAAAG